rnacentral:lncRNA from 1 species
ACCCUAGUUAUUGGGGACAAAAUGGCAGAAGCAGGACAAGAUGAAGAAGAACACACAUUCCCCCUUAAAAGGAAUUUACCCGCAGAAGAAGAAGAAGAAGAAGAAGCCGCCAUUGCCAAAUCCCAUGAAGAUGAGGCGAACAAGAAGCAAAAACUCGAUGAUUCGUCGUCAGUCGCCCACUUGAAUGAAAUCGAAGAGGACGAUGAUGACUAUGAAGAAGGUGAGGAUGAUGAUGAUGAGGAGGAGUCCAAUGGAGAGGCGGAAGUCGAUCGGAAAGGAAAGGGGAUUUUAAGAGAUGACAAGGGUAAGGGAAAGUUGAUUGAGGACUCCGACUCUGAUGAUUCUACUGAUUUUGGAGGCGAAUCUGAUGCUGACACCGAUACUGACCUCUCCGACGAUCUACUCGCCGA